AUUGAACGCUGGCGGAAUGCUUUACACAUGCAAGUCGAACGGCAGCACGGGGGCAACCCUGGUGGCGAGUGGCGAACGGGUGAGUAAUACAUCGGAACGUGCCCAGUCGUGGGGGAUAACGUAGCGAAAGCUACGCUAAUACCGCAUACGAACUGAGGUUGAAAGCGGGGGAUCGCAAGACCUCGCGCGAUUGGAGCGGCCGAUGGCAGAUUAGGUAGUUGGUGGGGUAAAGGCCUACCAAGCCGACGAUCUGUAGCUGGUCUGAGAGGACGACCAGCCACACUGGGACUGAGACACGGCCCAGACUCCUACGGGAGGCAGCAGUGGGGAAUUUUGGACAAUGGGCGCAAGCCUGAUCCAGCCAUUCCGCGUGCAGGAUGAAGGCCUUCGGGUUGUAAACUGCUUUUGUACGGAACGAAAAGCCCUGGGUUAAUACCCUGGGGUCAUGACGGUACCGUAAGAAUAAGCACCGGCUAACUACGUGCCAGCCGCCGCCGUAAGAC
rnacentral:rRNA from 1 species